CUUGGAGUGAAUCGACUGAUGAGAGCUGCGGGAACAUAUUUUAUAACUAUAUUGAUUAAUUAGAUAAUGCUGCUUAGCCGAGACAAUACCAAAUAUCAGAAUAGAAUAGACAAAAAGGAAGGUUAUGAUGAGUUCGUCUGCACUACGUCGUCUGCCGUUGCCUUGUACCGUGUGACAGGUGUGCGUGAGCGCAAAUGGGAGCGCAUGUGAAUUCGCCUCCAUUCGUCUGUAGAGCAAGAACGGAGCAAGUACCCUGAUGGAGCACAAUCGCCGAGAACGGGACGACAAAGAGGGAAAUAGAUAGCAUUAGGCAGCCUCUGAAGCAACAGUGGCCCCGCAUCCGCAUAGGAAAUACAAGACUAUCUUCGAUGCAUUUACACCACUGGACUAUACAAUAUCCUGUGCUUCGGUGAUUUAUACAUAGAAUCAUCAUGUGUUCCGAGUAGAUAAUUAUGUAGCAAUGAAUUAUAAUGUCUCAUGUCUUAGAGAACAAGAAAUGAAUAAUUUAAUGGUAAUUGAAAUGAAACUAUUGUCCAUACUCUUGUAACGCAUUAAUCACAACUAUACAACAAUGAAUUUAUAUUGUCUAUUGCUAAGUCUCAAUAUGUAUUCUUGACAAUGAAUUGAUGAAUAAAAACUCA